UAUGUGGGGUAAAAUGGUGCAGGUAAUAGUCCCUUGUGCUUGUGUUGGUACAUGUUAAAUUUCUUUUUCUGCAAAGAAAUUUCUAUUAGAAGUUAUCAUCUAUGUGGAACUUUAUACUGUAUAUAUGGUGCUUUGGGCUCUAAGUAAACUGUUUCACUAAGUAAGCUGUUCAUGAUUGGAAUAAAUGCUUGCCAUAUUUUUGUUUAUUAAUAUUAAUUAAUGAGUUUGAGCACAAGUAAUAAGAUCAUUUAAUGAACAGAUGAACAUGAACAUUGGUGAGCUUGGCUCAAUUAUGUCGGUGAACAUACUUAUUUUGAGCUCACUUGUGUUUGUUUAAAGUUUUCAAUAACAGUUGGUCAUUAAUGAGUAUUAGAAAUUUAGAAUGCUAAAAUUCAUAAUUGUGCUGAUAAAUUUUGUUGAAAUUGGUUCUAGAAUGUAGUAUAUUACAAUAUUUUUUCAACAAUAGGUCAUUUGUCUGAAAUGGAGCUCCAAAGUGAAAGACAGUAUUUAUAAAAUAUAUGAACAUUAUCAACUGAAAGAAGCACAAAAAUAAAAGGAAGCAGUAUGGGACAGAAUCGAACAUUCCUUGCAUGAAACUAAUGAGAGGGCUGUUUCCACUAUCAAAUGAGUAGGCAUCCCUUUUCUCUGCAUUGUGAAGUGAAGCAUCUGUAGCCUCUGUGUGGGCAGGUCCCAGCAUUAUUUAUUUUUUCAUAAAUUCUUAUUAUUUGAAUAAAUAAUGAAAAAGCAGUCCAUUUCUUUUGGGGCUUGUUUUUCUUUUGAGCUGAGCUCGAACAAGAGGGGCUAGAGCUUGUUUGAGCUUGAGAUGGGAUUAAGUUGGGUAUUAAAGAGACUAGGCCAAGUUUGAACAGCACAAAACUCACUUCCGUUACUCUGUUUAUACCUUUAAUGUUGAACCUAGGAAUUCCUGAAAUUCAUGUGCAAGAGUGCUGUUUCUGAGCUCCUAGUUGUGUGAUGCUGUCUCCUUCCUUGUUUAGUUGACAAUUAUUGACAUUGGCCACUGUCUGUAAAGGAUUGGAGUUGCUUGUUUUCUUGCAUCUUGGAGUUUCUGUUUAACUUUAAGUUGCUUUGCUGCUUCUCAAGGAUGGACAAUUUGAUCGGGAGAACUUUAAUUGUGGACCAAGCAUGCCUUCAUCACCUGGAGAAACACUUUGUGCUGCAGUUUCUGCUUGCACAUGGGUGGAACCUCAUGGAAAGUGUACAGUUGCAUUCGCUCUUGCAUGGUCAUCUCCAAAGAUAAAGUUCUCGAAGGGAAGCUCAUACCAUAGGAGAUACACCAAAUUUUAUGGCACUUCUGAAAGAGCGGCUCAGAAUUUGGUGCAUGAUGCACUGACACAUUACAAGUGGUGGGAGGAAGAGAUUGAGAAAUGGCAAAAUCCUAUCCUCAAGGAUGAAAGGCUACCAGAAU
rnacentral:misc_RNA from 1 species